GCGGCGAUAGUUCAAUUGGUAGAGCCUUAGCCUUCCAAGCUAAUUGUUGCGGGUUCGAGUCCCGUUCGCCGCUCCA
rnacentral:tRNA from 2 species